rnacentral:lncRNA from 1 species
GACGAAAACGGACUUGUAAAUGGAAUUGAAAACAAAAUUGAAAACGAAAUUAAAAAAAAAUUGAACAAAACGCAAACUGGAAUAGAAAGGGGCAAAAAAAAUGCAAGAACAUAAAAUGUAAAUUGAAGCAAGAGUAUAAAACGAAAAUGGGAUUGGAAUUAAAGUCAAGAUUCAAUAGAUAAAAAAGGGAAAGGAAAUAAAGAACCUAAAACUCCCAAAAGGGGAGGAAGAAGAAAAAUACUUCAAUCGCCAAACCCUAGAAGAAAACGUAAAAUGAAGGAGGGGAAGUGAAAUUUGAUUUGGGGUUUAUAGACCCCAAAUUACGAUGAUGCCCUUCUAAUGGGCUUUUACAAAAUAUUGACCAAAAAUAGGCCCAAAAGUCAAAUUUGUCCAAAACUGACAUAAUUGAAAUUACAAAACGAAAUUAAAUUCAAUUGUUGACAUGGCCACACUCUUUUUGUCCCAAAAUAUGAUUCCAAAAUUUUCCUACAAAUAAUAAUUGGAAUAAUUAGGACCAAAUAAAUCAAAUUAAUUAAAAUAAGAAUUAUUAGUUCUAUUGAGCCCAAAUAAUGAAAAUGAGACAAUAAUGAAGAAUUAAACAUAAUUCACAAAUACAAUAUGGUGCGAAAAGCUUAUUGAAUAGUACAAAAUAGUGAUUCAUCAAUAUCACAACUUAAACCGUGCAUCCAAACUAAUAGUGCAUAUGAACUUUUCACCCCACUCCACUUCCUUACCGCUUAACAUCACAAAACUUCUUUGCUUUGACCACUUAUUCCAAUCCCCACCAUCACUACCUCUCUCUCCCCCAACUGACCACCACAUCCAACUUUCCUAAUUCUACAUCGGUAAACGUCAAGAAUAUCGCUACCCCCAUUCCCAAAAAUGUCAACUUGAAAAACAAGU